rnacentral:rRNA from 1 species
AUUGAACGCUGGCGGCAGGCCUAACACAUGCAAGUCGAGCGGAUGAAGGGAGCUUGCUCCUGGAUUCAGCGGCGGACGGGUGAGUAAUGCCUAGGAAUCUGCCUGGUAGUGGGGAUAACGUCCGGAAACGGGCGCUAAUACCGCAUACGUCCUGAGGGAGAAAGUGGGGGAUCUUCGGACCUCACGCUAUCAGAUGAGCCUAGGUCGGAUUAGCUAGUUGGUGGGGUAAAGGCCUACCAAGGCGACGAUCCGUAACUGGUCUGAGAGGAUGAUCAGUCACACUGGAACUGAGACACGGUCCAGACUCCUACGGGAGGCAGCAGUGAGGAAUAUUGGACAAUGGGCGAAAGCCUGAUCCAGCCAUGCCGCGUGUGUGAAGAAGGUCUUCGGAUUGUAAAGCACUUUAAGUUGGGAGGAAGGGCAGUAAGUUAAUACCUUGCUGUUUUGACGUUACCAACAGAAUAAGCACCGGCUAACUUCGUG